AGGACGAACGCUGGCGGCGUGCUUAACACAUGCAAGUCGAACGGUAAGGCCCCUUCGGGGGUACACGAGUGGCGAACGGGUGAGUAACACGUGAGCAACCUGCCCUUGACUCUGGAAUAACAGUUGGAAACAGCUGCUAAUACCGGAUAUGACUGACGGCGUCAUCGUCGUGAGUGGAAAGCCCUGGCGGUCAAGGAUGGGCUCGCGGCCUAUCAGCUUGUUGGUGAGGUAACGGCUCACCAAAGGCUUCG
rnacentral:rRNA from 1 species